GUGCUGUGAACCUGAAAAAGCACUUAUGAGUUUGGGGCAUUUCCAGGGGUAGUUUAGUGGCCCUGUUGGUAGUGUGACCCUUCUUCUGUGCUGUGAACCUGAAAAAGCACUUAUGAGUUUGGGGCAUUUCCAGGGGUAGUUUAGUGGCCCUGUUGGUAGUGUGACCCUUCUUCUGUGCUGUGAACCUGAAAAAGCACUUAUGAGUUUGGGGCAUUUCCAGGGGUAGUUUAGUGGCCCUGGUGGUAGUGUGACCCUUCCUCUGUGCCAUGAACCUGAAAAAGCUCUUAUGAAGACCUGAUUGAUCUCCUUUUAGGGCUUUAGAAAUAGCUGAUACGAAGGUUGGAAGCGUUUGAAAAUACUGACUCGUGUGUCCUGACGGCGGCCUCUGGCUUGGUACUGCAGUGAGGGCCUGAGGAGAGGAGCACACCACCAGGGACAGCAAACGAUUCUUGCCGAUUUCCGCAGCUUCCCCGAGGCUCCUGCAAGACCCUCACAGCAGCAGGAGUGGUGUGCAGGGGAGGUUGCAAGACCAGUGACUUGAGUGGCCAGAACCAGCAGAAAGACUACUGUUGUGGGGAUUAGGAGAACAACAACCACCACCACCACCACCAACAACAACAACGACAACAACUCCAUCAUUACAGGAAAGGGAAGGUUAGAGUGUGACAAGAUUUGAGACUGGGGGCAAGUUCACAAGACAAACCCUUCCACACAGGGGGGCUUCGUGGUGCAGUGGUUAGCACACUUAGCUCAGAACCAAGAGAGCCCGGGUUUGAUUCCCAGGCAGAGUGGAAAAGUUUGGGUGGCUUUUCCGAUACCCUACGCCUCUGUCCACCCAGCAGUGAAUGGGUACUAGGUAUUAAUCGGGGGUUGUGUCCCGUCUUCUGGGGUCUGUUCCCUUCUGCUAUAAUUCCUUCCCCUUCUGUCUCUCUCCGGCAUAUGACCACAGAUGUUGCGCCCACUAAACAAAACAUUCCUUUUUCACCCUUGCACACACUGGUGAAGGAAACCAUGAGUGCCCAGCAAGACUCUCAGGGAAGGGUGACCUCAACAAACACACCCACACAUUCGGUUGAAGCACCCCAUGAGUGCCGUGACUGUGGCAGGAGGUUCAGAAAAAAGAUUCACCUUACAACGCACACUCUCAAACACACCGGGGAAAGACCUCAUGGAUGCAAUGUCUGUGACAAGAGUUUCAGUACGAAGAGUGCUCUCAAAACACACACACUCACACACGCCGGUGAACGACCUCAUGAAUGCCGUGUCUGUGGCAAAAUGUUCAGUACUAAAGGUACCCUCAAAACACACUCCUUCCUCCACUCAGGUGACAGACCUCAUGAAUGUCAUUUCUGCGACAAAAAAUUCAGUUACAAGAGCCUACUCAACACACACAUUCUCACACACACUGGGGAAAGGCCUUAUGAAUGUAAAGUCUGUAGAAAAGGGUUCACAGAGCAGAGCAGCCUCAACAAACACGCCCGAAUCCACUCAGGCGAAAAACCUCACGAAUGCCUCGACUGCGGCAAAAAGUUUGCCCACAAGAGUAACUUCCGAAAACACACCUUCACACACUCGGAUAAAAAGCCUCACGAAUGCCUUUACUGCAGCAAGAGGUUCAACGUUAAGAGUGACUUAAAAAUACACACCCUAACACAUACCGGAGAAAGACCUAAUCAGUGUAAAGUUUGCGGCAAACGAUUUACUCAGAAGAGUGCACUAAAUACACACAUGUACACACACACCAGUGAAAAGCCCCAUGAAUGUGACGUUUGCGGGAAGAAGUUCAUCAGGAAGAGCCAGCUGGUUGUACACAAUUAUGUACACACCGGGGAAAGACCUCUCGAGUGCCUGGAAUGUGGUAAACGGUUUGCCUGGAGGUGUAGCUUGAAUCAACAUGUCUUCAGACACUCUGGCCUGAAGCAGUUUAAAUGUGAUGUCUGUGGGAAACACUUUAAAACCAAGCAGGAAAUUGCCCGGCACGUGAAGACCCAUUUCUAGGCAUUUUGUUGUACAGUUAACUCUGGAUUUACGCGAGUAUUGUGUCCUUGAAGAGGUGGCGUAAAUCCAAAGCAAUGUAGUAAAUCCAACAAGAGGUAGGUUUGUACCUUUAUUGCCUACUGUAUCACUCUGACUCCUCUCCCUCUCGUGGUUCCUCCUCUGGCUGCCCUUCCCCUCGUGGUAGCACAGCAGCGAGGGUGUUGUUGUUGUUGUUGUUGUUGUUGAGUAGCGUGGGUACUGUAUUGUUGUUCAAGUGGCGCACGGGAAGAACUGAGCUCAGCUGUGUGGCCGUGUGAGUCCAGUUGCGUGAGACAUCUGGUGGACACUCCAUAAAAUAUUGCGUAUAAGUGAAAAAAAACGUGUAAAUUAAACAUUUGUUUGGAUUUUGGACCACGCGUUAUUUCAAAAACGCGUAAACCAAACUCGCGUAAAUCAAGAGUUACCUG